rnacentral:rRNA from 1 species
CAGAAGGGGCAAGCGUUAUUCGGAAUUAUUGGGCGUAAAGGGCGCGUAGGCGGCUUUGCAAGUGACGGGUGAAAUCCCUCGGCUUAACCGAGGAACUGCCUGUCAAACUGCAUGGCUUGAGACCGGGAGAGGUGAGUGGAAUUCCCAGUGUAGCGGUGAAAUGCGUAGAUAUUGGGAGGAACACCAGUGGCGAAGACGGCUCACUGGACCGGUACUGACGCUGAUGCGCGAAAGCGUGGAGAGCAAACAGGAUUAGAUACCCUGGUAGUCCACGCCGUAAACGAUGAGUGCUUGGUGUAGCGGGUAUCGACCCCUGCUGUGCCGAAGUCAACACAUUAAGCACUCCGCCUGGGAAGUACGGUCGCAAGGCUG